GGUGCCGUAGCUCAGCUGGUCAAAGCAGCUGUCUCAUAAACAGGAGAUCCUGGGUUAAAAUCCCAGCGGUGCCU